UAGGGAAUCUUCCGCAAUGGACGCAAGUCUGACGGAGCAACGCCGUGUGAGUGAAGAAGGAUUUCGGUUCGUAAAACUCUGUUGUUAGAGAAGAACAGCGCAUAGAGUAACUGUUAUGCGUGUGACGGUAUCUAACCAGAAAGCCACGGCUAACUACGUGCCAGCAGCCGCGGUAAUACGUAGGUGGCAAGCGUUGUCCGGAUUUAUUGGGCGUAAAGCGAGCGCAGGCGGUCAAUUAAGUCUGAUGUGAAAGCCCCCGGCUCAACCGGGGAGGGUCAUUGGAAACUGGUUGACUUGAGUGCAGAAGAGGAGAGUGGAAUUCCAUGUGUAGCGGUGAAAUGCGUAGAUAUAUGGAGGAACACCAGUGGCGAAGGCGACUCUCUGGUCUGUAACUGACGCUGAGGUUCGAAAGCGUGGGUAGCAAACAGG
rnacentral:rRNA from 1 species